rnacentral:rRNA from 1 species
GACGAACGCUGGCGGCGUGCUUAACACAUGCAAGUCGAACGGAAAGGCCCUGCUUUUGUUGGGUGCUCGAGUGGCGAACGGGUGAGUAACACGUGAGUGACCUGCCCUUGACUUUGGGAUAACUUCAGGAAACUGGGGCUAAUACCGGAUAGGAGGUCCUGCUGCAUGGUGUGGGGGGGAGAGUUUCGGCGGUUGGGGAUGGACUCGCGGCUUAUCAGCUUGUUGGUGGGGUAGUGGCUUACCAAGGCUUUGACGGGUAGCCGGCCUGAGAGGGUGACCGGACACAUUGGGACUGAGAUACGGCCCAGACUCCUACGGGAGGCAGGAGUGGGGAAUAUUGCACAAUGGGCGGAAGUCUGAUGCAGCAACGCCGCGUGCGGGAUGACGGUCUUCGGGGUGUAAACCGCUUUCGCCUGUCACGAAGCGUGAGUGACGGUAAUGGGUAAAGAAGCACCGGCUAACUACGUG